CGGCCGCGUCGACGAGACACGGACCAAACUCCUACGGGAGGCAGCAGUGAGGAAUAUUGGUCAAUGGCCGAGAGGCUGAACCAGCCAAGUCGCGUGAAGGAUGAAGGAUCUAUGGUUUGUAAACUUCUUUUAUACGGGAAUAAAGUGAGUCACGUGUGGCUUUUUGUAUGUACCGUAUGAAUAAGCAUCGGCUAACUCCGUGCCAGCAGCCGCGGUAAUACGGAGGAUGCGAGCGUUAUCCGGAUUUAUUGGGUUUAAAGGGAGCGUAGGCGGGAGAUUAAGUCAGCUGUGAAAGUUCGGGGCUCAACCUUGGAAUUGCAGUUGAAACUGGUUUUCUUGAGUGCGGCAGAGGCAGGCGGAAUUCGUGGUGUAGCGGUGAAAUGCUUAGAUAUCACGAAGAACCC
rnacentral:rRNA from 1 species